UUUCUCAACCCCAUUGAUGUGGUUAAAUUUUCUAUUGGUCAGCAUAUUUUGAUUUUUAGUUUACAUUAAAUUUAAUGCAUGCAAUAGCAAAGUGCCUACCAUAUGGUGCACCCACUUGUAAAAUGCAUUUUGUUUUAUUCAGUUCAGUCAUUUCAUAUUCAACAUCAUCUUGAUUUUUACUUUCUUUUUGUGGUACUUUGUUCCCUUCUUCCUUUCGUCUGUAAAAGAGCGGCACAACUUUGAAACAAAAAUGUAGAAAGAAUAACUGAAGAGCUGUGAUGACUUUGACUCUGUUUGCCUUUACAUUUUAGCUAUGCAUCUGAUACUAUAGAGUAUGACGGUAUCCUAAUCGGUAAAAAGGUCAAGGUUUGGUGGCCAGAUGAUGACAUGUAAUUGCUUCCAUUAGGUUUUAUAAUUAUAUUGGUCACUGAUAAGUACUAGCUGAAGGAAGUCCUUACCUUUUAACUGAAGAAUCUCCUUUUACUUUUUCUAUGUUUUUUUUUUUUAUUUUUUGGUCUUAAGCAUGAUACCUUGUCUUUUAUGUUGUAAUUUUGCCUUUUAGUGGCUGUGUGGUGUUGUCAAACUUCCAGUUUUGACACAUCCCUAAUUUUAUUUUUAAUUAUAAAAAAUUACUAGUAACAA